ACAAGUGUUUGGUUCCUCCACCACAACUCUAGAAUUCCCGUAUGGCUGAUAGUGCGAAUUCGCAAAGGAAGAAUGAUAUUGGUACGGGUAGUUCAUAUGCGUAACUGGAAAGGCAACAAUUUCAGCCGGUUUAGCCGUAUCAGGUUUAGCUGGAGCCGGUUUCGCCGGCUCAGGCUUUUUCUCAGGUGGUUUAACAACUUCAACCGAAACAAUUUCUGCAUUACACAGUUUCCUUAGCUUCAUCACGAGAACCGGUGUAUCAACUUCUCCAACUACUGUCAUUUUCCCUGUUUUGUCAUCCAUUGUUAUCGAAGUAACCCCUUGAGAUCGAGAGACGGUCACAAACGCUUUCUUCCUGAUUCUCUCAUCGUGGACACUCAAUUGCAACACAGCUUUCUGUAAUUUCAAACUUGAGAUCAGUAUGGUUAUAAUUGUAUAUUUAUGAAAUAAGUUUGACUAAAUGGUUUAUAUAUAUAACGAUCAAUCAAAGAUCAUUAAGUUAAAUAUAAUUAUUUUCAGAUAGAAAAAAUAUGAAAGAAAAGGAUACCUUAGCGGUCAUGGCUGAAGAAUACUAGAGUAAAGCUUGAGAAAUUUCCGAUAUAUUUAUCAAAGAAAGAACGAUAUGAGGUAUGGCUUGCGUCUUGCGAUGUUGAACCUUCUUGAUGAUAUAUUUAUUAAAGAAAGAACGAGAUGAGGUAUGGUUUGAGAUGUUGAACCUUCUUGAUGACAAUUGCAAGCAAUAAGAUAUCCAUUAUAUAGAAAUUGCAUAGGAAACUACUAGGAAUCUAAUACUAUGACCCACAUAGUUUUUUCUAUUUUUAAAUAACAAAAAAGCAUUUGUCCAAAAAAAAAAAUAAUAAUAAUAACAAAAAAGCAUUGCGACGACUAUUAAAAGAGUAACGGAGUCAAUCUUUAUUUAACUUAUAGCUAGUAUUGUUUCUGGUAUGUGGUUGAAAAGUAAAAUAAAUCCAACGACGCAACGACGAAAGCAACGGGAGAAGUGUUGACUGCUCAUUUGGUCGCUUAUACGACCUUGUCGACGUUGAUUUGUGACCUUGUUGACCUAUUUGGUCAUGGACAAGUUCUUAAGAUUUUGUUCAAGAGAUCAGUUUUAUAACAUCCAAACGAACACUGGAUACUGGAAUCAAACUGAGAUUGACGUCACAAACGCAAAUAUUCCAAAAAAAAAUUAAUGAUCUUGGAUUUUAAUUUGUGUUUGGUUAAUUAGAUAUUUUGCUUAUUCAUUAUGAGAAAACAUAAAUCCAGGAUAUACUAUAGAGUAAGAUUAUUGUUUAUUUUAUAUUUUACUUUGAUAAAAAUUUAUGAUAAACUGUUACACAUAUGAUCUAUCUUAUUAAAAGAAAAUCAACAUAUUGAAAUAAUUUUACAAUUACGUGGGGUAUAUUAUGAAAAUGCCACUGAUUUAUAACGAGAAAAUGGACUUUUAAAUCUCCAACUAUUUGAAAUCAGCAUUUUUAAUACCCAACUAUUACUUGCGCAGAUUUAAUCUCGAAGUCAUUGUUGACUGCGCAAAAUUAGACUUAAAAAAGUCAAACGUUAAUUCUAAACAUAAACGUUAACUGAAAUAAAAAAAGUGAUCAAGUUUGGCUUUUAAAACCCAAUCCCUAAAAUUGUUUCACUUUAUGCGACUCCGAGUGAGAGGAAGUGAUUCACGGCGACUGAAUAAUAAACAAGUGUACUUCCGGUGAGAGGAUGGUGAAAACCUACUUUGGAACUAGUGGUAGAAGUUGGGAAUUUUUUUUUAUUUGAAGAUCAUCCAGAAUUUCAAUUCCGAUAGAGAGUGAAAGGUAAACGAAUAAGCUUUGUUGAAUCAUGUCCGAGUUCCAAAGUAGGUUUUUACCAUCCACUCACCGGAAGUACAUUUGUUUAAUCUUUGGUCACCGUGAAUCGCUUCUUUUCACUUAGAAUCGCAUAAAAAAAUCGAUUUCAGGGAUUUUAGAGUUUUGAAAGCCAAACUCGAUCCCUUUUCUAAUUACAAUUAACGUUUUUGUCUAGUAAUUAACGUUUAACAUUUGUAAGUCUAAUUUUGCGCAGUCAACUAAUGACUUCGGGAUUAAAUAUCCGCAAGUGAUAGUUGAGUAUUAAAAAUAAUGGUUUCAAAUAGUUGGAGAUUUAAAAGUACAUUUUUGAGAUUUAUAACUAUGACUUGAGUUUUCUUUAAUGGUAGUUUGGUCAUUUUAAUACAAUGCACCAAUGCACAUUAGAUUAUUCUACCACUAAAUAAUAUCUUUUAUUUUUUUCUAUAUUUAUGCUUUACUAUAACAAAAUAUUAGUUAAAAUGUUUUUUUUCAAAUAACAAACUAUUCACAAUUAUUAUCAAAAUACUAUUAAUAAAUAUUGAUUCAGUUUUUCUUGCUUUAAAAAAUGAAAAUAAAAUAUUUUUUAUGAUAUUUAAAUUAUCAAAUGGAUCAAAAAAUAUUUUCAAUAUUUAGUAAUUUUAACAAGCAAUUAUUAUAAUAAAUUAUAAAAUUUGAUAAAUUGAGCAUACUGUAAAUUUAAAAUCCAAUAGUUUUGCCUUAAACAGACGCUGCUAUCACCAAAAAAAAAAAAAAACUGGCCAACACAUAAACAGAAAUAAAGUUAAAUAUUUAAAUUUUAGUAAGUUAAAUUUGCUAGGUAAUUGUUAUGCGAUUUAUAAGCGUAUGUAAGAAUCUAGUCUAUAAUGAGUCUUAGAACUUUCAAGUCUAGUAAUAUUGGUUUAUAAAUUCUCACAUUCUCAUUAAAAUCUAGUGUUACUGGUUUGAUGAUUCUAUAAUUUUAUACAAAAUUAUUUGUUAUUCAAAAAUUUAACAUUUAAAUGAUUCUACAAUUCUAUUAAAAUAAGUGUUAUUGGGAGUUGAAUUUUUAUUAUUUUAACUCACAAAACAAGAUUUUGAGAAUACUACAUGUUUCCCUUGAAUUUUUAAAAUCAUUACAUUAUUUUAUUUUAAUAUAUUUUCACAAUAUACAAAAUUCUCUACAAUUCUUUCCCAAUUUAACAAAUCUCUCAACUUUUAAAAUCAACAAACUCAAUAGAAAUCUAAGUCCCACUAACACCCCCUUAAAAUAGAAGUCAUGACUUCUUUCAUGUGUGAUUUUUUAUUUGGACCAUUCCUAGAAAAUUAAAUAUAUUUUACAUAACUUAAUUAUAAUAUCUUUUAAUAUUUUAUUUUAUUUGAAUUACUAUUAAAUCUUAAAGAAAUGUCUAACAAAAUAUUUCAAAUAUAUUUUUAGAAUCUUUUUAAAAUAUAUUUUAGAAAUUAGUUAAUUAAAAUUUUAAUUAUCACAAAGUAUAAUUAGAAACUAAAUUUUAAUUUAGUUUUGAUUGUAAACAAAAUAAUAAUUAUAUAAAAUAUUUUAACAAUAUUUUAAUAAUGAUAAAAAUUUUAAAUUGAUUUAAUUUUCAAAACUAAAUUUAAGAAAUAUUUUAAAAGAUGUUUUUUAAAAGAAAUGUUCAUUAUAUAUCUAAUUUAAAAGUAAAAAUAUUUUAUUUAUUUAGCAUAUAAAUUAUGACUUAUUUCAUAUGCGAUUUUUUUCAAUUUAGACCAUUUAAAAGUCAUACCUUUAGAUGUUUAAUUCAAUUAAUUUACACCUCCCUUCAUAGAUGAAACAUUUGAUCUUUAUUCAUGUCGUAUAUAUAAAACUUCAGUCUACUGUUUUUAACGUUUGUGUAUUCUCCUGAGUUAAAAAUUAAUUCAGUUUAUUAUUUAAACAACUAUACAAAAUGGUUUAAUUAAUCAGUAUAUACCAAAUUCUCUAUUAUGUAAGUUCAACUUAAUUUGAUUUCCACAUAUAUUUUAAAUUUAGAAAUAAAACAAAAAUUAUGUAAAUCAGUAUUGUUAAAUAAUAAUGUUUUCAAAAUAAAUUUUGUUUACAAAAAUAAAAAAUUUAGAAAUUUUAUAGUAAUAAUAUUAUACGCCACACAAAUAUUAUUAUAAAAUUAGAUAAUAUAUAACACCAAAUUAUAUUAAUCUACUUAUAUAUUUUAUUGUAUAACAUACAAUAUUUGAUUAUUAGAAAAAAAUUACAGGUCGUGAAGGUCAAGAUCUAGUCUACUCUAUUAAAAUAGAGUCUUAUUUUAUAUAUGCUUAUAAAAGUUGUCAUUUAAUUUUGGACUUAUGUAUAUCUUAUUAGAACAAAAUAUAAUAACCCCUAUAAUUCAGAUGAACUGAAUAUAACAAUCCCAACAAUUCGGAUGGAAAUUUUUUGUAUAUGAAAAUUUCAACUAUUCAAUGUCAUUAAUCACUAUGAAAACUUACCAAAUUAUUAUAUAUCACCGACUCAACGUAUCAGACUAACAAAGCAAAAUUUCGUAUAAUUAUAUAGCUAAACCGAUUCUAACUAUUGACCCAACAAUCCCAUACGGGUAUGGCUAUGGUUGAUAUGCAAAUGACACUAAAAUUUUAAUCUCACAUUCAGUUAUAUAUACUUUACAAGUUUUGUAUAGUACGGUUUUGUGAAUUUUAUAUUGUAUUAUAUUUUAUAUAACAGUUAUAUUUGAAUUUCAUUCAUUUAUAUAUACAUGUGUUUUUAUAAAAUCACAUAUAUUUAUUGAUGAAUCAUUCAUUCUAUUUCAUAUACCAAAACUGAACUCCAUAAUUUAUAAAUUUUGUGGCAUAUUAUCUAUACUACUAAAGCAAAAUACCUCCUAAGAUUUUGCCCAUAGUUUAACACUAUAAUUACAAUUCUAUGCCGUUAAGAGAAUAUUCUGAUAUUAAUGAUGGACCCAUUAAAAAUCGUUAAAACAAGAAAAAUAAAAAAUAAAAAAAACACGGGACCUACCUAAAAUAUUUAUCGGAAAGAAGAAGAAACAAAUUGAUCAAUCUAUAAUUAGUGUCCGCUGCAAAAAGGAAAUUAAUCUAUUCUAAUAUUCACCUCUACUAAUUAAAUCAAUAAGUAUAAACAAUUCAAAACCUAUAAAAUUCACUGAUGAGUACAAACAACACGACUAUGGAGGUUGGGAUGUAGCUUUAAAAUCUAUGCUAUAAAAUUUAGUUUAUAAUUUUUUUUUUUGUAGAUGUAUCAGUUAUAGCUGUAAAAAUUAAAUAGAUUAAUACAAUGGUAGGAAUAGUUCUAGAAAAUAUCAAAACUGUAAAUAGAUUAUCUUAUAUAAGAAUACAUAAUCUUAUAAAUUUUAAAAAGAAACAAAUUCUGCGUUUUAAAAGCGCGGAUCAGAAUCUAAUUAUAAUUAAACCAAAGUUCAGUCAGAUUCGCAACACUGCGAGGAAAGAUCGUGAAAUGGGCACUAUUGGACCCUAAAGAUCAUCCUUAUAUGAUUUAAAGUUCAUUCGAGUAAAACAGUGUGACAAGCAUACAUGUCUUUGUGUAUAUAUAUAUACUAGGAUAAGACCUGCAUAAAUUUAUAUGAAAAUUAUUUAAGAAAUAUCGUAUGAAAAAAAAUUCAUAGUAUUGAUCGAAUUAAUAUAUUUGGCUCUUAAACAAUUUUUUAAAACCUUUUUUAAUUAUAUAAUUUGUUUAGUAAUGAACUGAUCCCAUUUUUAAAAAUAUUUUAGGUCAAAAAAUUAUUUAUCGCAUAAAAACCUAACUUUUAGGCCGAAGAAUCUCAUGCCUACUAUUUGGUUACAAUGAAACUAUGUCAGUUCGGUUUUAUAUCAUGAUUUAGCAAUUUAAAAGUUAAUUAUGGUUAUGAAAAGUUUACGUUCACGUGCCAAUCCUAUCUAUAUUCGAUAUUUUUCUCAUUUUUGUGUCGUUUUGGUUAUUGCUCGAUAUAAAUAUUGAUUUUUGAGUUUUUCUCAUUUUUUUUCUUUUAUAUUGGUCUGAGAUUUAGAAAAUGUUUAAGAUUCAAAAUUAUUAAAGAGAUACAUACUUAGGUUAAGAUCUGCGCUUUGUGCAGAAUAAAUACUUAUUUUAUAUUUUUUUCUGCAUAUUAUGAAAUAAUAAAAUAAUAUUUAUAUAUUAAAUAACUAAGAAAUUAGUUACUAUUAUGUAAUAAAUUGGCUUGUACAUAUAAAUCAAAUGACCGUUCUUGUUUAUUCGCAAUCAUUUUAGAAUAAAUAAAUCAAAACAAUCAAUCUUAUCUAUCGUAUAUGAUAUAUAAUUAAAUUUAAACGACAUGAAGUAUAUAUAUAUUAACAUAAACACCUAUUAAAAUAAAAUUAUUUAUUUAUAUGAUUUUAUUAUCAUUGUAUCUUACUAUAGAAAAAAAUUUAAACAUUGAUCACAAAAGUUUAUGUGAGACUUUUAACAGUUUUAGUUAUUUAUACUCGUUUUGAAAAAUUCAAAAUACAACAUAUACAAGAAAAUCUAAAAUUUUAAUAUAUGAUCAAUGUAAUUGUGUAAUUUAUUUAAAUAGUAAAGAAUUAAACAAAAAUGAUAGAAAACAUACAGAUUAUUAGCAAAUCUUCAUUAUUUAAAAUCAUUAAUUACUAUAUAUAUCAUAACCACAUUAGGUAAUUUCGUAGGUUUUAUUUAAGGAAAUAAUAUAUAAUAAAUAGCCACCUUGUUUUAGUUAAUAUCAUAUGAUAUCAUAUAGUUGGUAUUAAAUGUUUCUAGUGAGAUAUAAAAAUCUAAUUGGACCAACGUGUUUAUCAAUUUCAAUGUGAAGCUGACACGUAUGACUAAUUAAGUACCUAAUUGAUUGACACAUAAGCAAUGAAUCUUUUUUAAUUAUUACAAAAUUGAGGUUACAUCUUUUCAAAUGUUCCUCAAUUAAUAUAGGGGAUUAAGUAUAGUCAUAAACCACAUUCAAAUAAAAAUCAACUUAUAUAGCUCGUCUCGUAGGUAUCUCGGUUUAACCUUAAACUCGACGAAUGAAAAGAUAACAAAUCAUCAUGGAAAAAAGCCCUCACCUUCGCUUAAGAGACGAAUUAUAAGAUGGGGAAUUUUCAUAUGGAGAAGACGCGAGGGGUGUUGUCCCAUCAGCAAUGAUGGCUGAUUAGAGUAAUGUCACGGUGGUUCAGGAUGGGAGUGAAGCUACGAUUUCAGGAUUGAGUAGCGUGACACGCAAGAGGCUUGAUUCACCUCCUUGUAGCUCGUCCAUGGCAAGGAUCUAGGCUAACCGCGGCAACUAAGGUGGCCUAACGAGUUGGGAUGUAGGGGUUUUGAUGACGGCCCAUGGUUUAGUGACUUGCGGUGCAAGUCUGAUCAGUUUUGCUUUUUAACCAUGGACUCCUUGAGGCGAGGGGAAGCAGCUCUAGCGUUUUGAGAUUGAAGCCUCUCAGCUUGCUUCCUCUUCUUGGCUCAGUUGAGGCGACGUGAUGGAUGGACAUGGCAGUUCAAGGAGGUGUCAGCAGCGUUAAGGUUUCUAGCUAGAUCUAGGCUUUUGUUUGUCUCUUGGCUUUGGAGAAGUGAUCAUGUCUAUUUAUACACGUCCAAGGCUUUAGAAGAAAGGAAAGAUCAAAUUUAGGCAACAGACAAGACUUUACUAAAACAAACCGGUUCAGAAGAAAACUAAGUGGUGUAGGAGGGAGGGGGUGGGAAUCGAGAUAGUUGUAUUAGAUAAUGACAUUCUACCCCCAUGAGUACUCUAUGAAAUAUUCACAUCACAAAGAAUCACAUCGUGUACGCCGGUGUGGGUGAGUUUCAUAUAUCAAUUUACAUCACAUAGAGAAGAAAAGUUCAACCCAUAAUGUACUUUUCGUUGUUUUUUUGUUGUCUUAACCCUCAAGCUCCAGUUUAGCGUUGUAAUAUAUUCUGGUGCAGUAAUUCACAAGACCUUGCUGUGGGAUUUUGAAAAAUGUCCCAAAUUGGGAAGAGCAAAGAGUUUGCAACGCUAAUGUCUCUACAGUCUGGCCAAUAACAUUUGCUUAAAAGUGUAAAACGAAUCUUUGCCUCAAUGAGUUUCUUUCUAUAGUUAUUUUCUUCUAGUUUUUUUUUGUCGAAGUUUCAUUCAUAUAAUGAUGCAAGUCAAAUGAUUUGGGAGGUAACCAACAUGAAAAACAGAGUAAACAAAGUAUCAUGAAGACAGGUCUGGCCCAGACCAAUUAUGGGGUCGAAGAAAAAGAAGAAAAUAAUUGAGCUUAUUACGGCCCUGUUCGUUUCUCUAUUAAGACGCUGCAUCUGGAUAUUAGCAUUGUUGUCCAUUUAGACACUAUGUCACUAUAAUGCAGAAUUCAAAUGUAGCAUAUAUAAUAUCUUGCACAGGUUUUAGAGCUUCAUUGACUUUGAUCGGCGACCAUCACAAACCCGCUUUGGUAAAGUAUCGAGCUUCAUUGAAAGUUGAGGAUGCAGCGGUGAUGAGGACAUGGAGUUUUGGGUCUCCCAACCCAAUUAACCAGACAAGCCAGCGACGCGGAUGUCGGCUCCGGGAUUAUGACUAGAGACUCGUCCGUGUAUCUUUCUCCUGUGUUGAGUCCGGAGAGGCGAAGUAACCCGUAUGUGUAUCAUUUGAAAAUGUAGUAGAGUAGUUUUAGUCGUAUGGAUUUUAUUCAAUUCAUCGUUGGUAGUCUAAAGUUUUUUUUUUUGUAAAUUUUUUUUUUUAAGUUAACAUAGUGUUAAAGCUCCACUUUAUCACACAUAUAAAUGAUUUGUUUCCCUUGAAUGAGCUCACGCGAGUAAUGUACAUUACAAAAUACCACAAAAAAAAAAAACACUCCCAUCAAACCUAAGUAUUACACAACUAACAUUACUUAAAAUAAUUCUAGCUAGUUAAAUCACAUAAGCACACAAGUAUUUGGUUCUUCCACCACAACUCUAGAAUUCCCGUAUGGCUGAUAGUGCGAAUUCGCAUAGGACGAAUAAUAUUGGUACGGGUAGUUCAUAUCCGUAACUGGAAAAGCAACAAUUUCAGCUGGUUUAGCCGUAUCAGGUUUAGCUGGAGCCGGUUUCGCUGGUUCAGGCUUUUUCUCAGGUGGUUUAACAACUUCAACCGAAACGAUUUCUGCAUUACACAGUUUCCUUAGCUUCAUCACGAGAACCGGUGUAUCAACUUCUCCAACUACUGUCAUUUUCCCUGUUUUGUCAUCCAUUGUUAUCGAAGUAACCCCUUGAGAUCGAGAGACGGUCACAAACGCUUUCUUCCUGAUUCUCUCAUCGUGGACACUCAAUUGCAACACAGCUUUCUGUAAUUUCAAACUUGAGAUCAGUAUGGUUAUAAUUGUAUAUUUAUGAAAUAAGUUUGACUAAAUGGUUUAUAUAUAUAACGAUCAAUCAAAGAUCAUUAAGUUAAAUAUAAUUAUUUUCAGAUAGAAAAAAUAUGAAAGAAAAGGAUACCUUAGCGGUCAUGGCUGAAGAAUACUAGAGUAAAGCUUGAGAAAUUUCCGAUAUAUUUAUCAAAGAAAGAACGAUAUGAGGUAUGGCUUGCGUCUUGCGAUGUUGAACCUUCUUGAUGACAAUUGCAAGCAAUAAGAUAUCCACUAUAUAGAAAUUGCAUAGGAAACUACCAGGAAUCUAAUACUAUGACCCACAUAGUUUUUUCUAUUUUUAAAUACAAAAAAGCAUUUGUCCAAAAAAGAUAAUAAUAAUAAUAACAAAAAAGCAUUGCGACGACCAUUAAAAGAGUAACGGAGUCAACGACGCAAGCAACUUAUAGCUAGUAUUGUUUCUCGUAUGUGGUUGAAAAGUAUAAUAAAUCCAACGACGCAACGACGAAAGCAACGGGAAAUGUGUUGACUGCUCAUUUGGUCGCUUAUACGACCUGGCCGACGUUGAUUUGUGACCUUGUUGACCUAUUUGGUCAUGUAAGAACUUGUGAAGCAAGUUCUCUAGAUUUUGUUCAAGAGAUCAGUUUUAUAACAUCCAAACGAACACUGGAUACUGGAAUCAAACUGAGAUUGACGUCACAAACACAAAUAUUCCACAAAAAAUUAAUGAUCUUGGAUUUUAAUUUGUGUUUGGUUAAUUAGAUAUUUUGCUUAUUCAUUAUGAGGAAACAUAAAUCCAGGUAAAGAAAAUCAACAUAUUGAAAUAAUUUUACAAUUACGUGGUAUGUUAUGAAAAUGCCACUGAUUUAUAACGAGAAAAUGGGUUUUUAAAUCCUCAACUAUUUGAAAUCAGCAUUUUUAAUACUCAACUAUCAUUUGUGCGAUUUAAUCUCGAAAUCAUGGUUGAAUGCGCAAAAUUAGACUUAAAAAGGUCAAACGUUAAUUUUAAGGGCAAUUCUCUUAAAUAAACUAUUUUCAAGUUUUGAUCACAAAAAUAUACUACAAGGAAGAAAAUGACAAAAAUGUUUCAUUUAAUAGGUAAAAGGACUUUAAUACCCUAGAUAUAUAAAAAAAAUAAAAAAAAUAAUAUUUUUUUUUAUAUAGUUUUAGAUUAUAUGUUUUCAAAUUCGAACUUUUUAUAAAAUUUUUUUUGAAUUUUUUUUUCAAAUUUUUUUUUGUAAUUCGAAAAUACUUUUUGAAACUAUUUUUAACAUUUUUAUUUUAAAAAUUUUAUAUUUAUUUUUUAUUUUAUCAAAUUUAAAUCUUAAUCUCAAAUCCCCACUCCUUAACUUUAAACCCUAAGGUUUGUAUUAGUUGACCCUAAGGGUAUAAGUGUAUAUUACCUCUUUAAUAUUUUGGUCAUUUUGAUCCUUAGAGUCUAUGUUUGUGACAUAAACUUUUUAUGUGAUAUCGUAGAGUAUUUCUCUAAUUUUAAAUAUAAACGUUAACUGCAAUCAGAAAAGUGAUCAAGUUUUGCUUUUAAAACCCCAAAAUCCCUAAAAUUGUUUCACUUUAUGCUACUCCGAGUGAGAGGAAGUGAUUCACGGCGACUGAGAAAUAAACAAGUGUACUUCCGGUGAGAGGAUGGUGAAAACCUACUUUGGAACUAGUGGUAGAAGUUGGGAAAUUUUAUUGAUUUGAGGACCAUCCAGAAUUUCAAUUCCGAUAGAGAGUGAAAGGUAAACGAAUAAGCUUUGUUGAAUCAUGUCCGAGUUCCAAAGUAGGUUUUUACCAUCCUCUCACUGGAAGUACAUUUGUUUAAUCUUUGGUCACCGUGAAUCGCUUCUUUGCACUUAGAAUCGCAUAAAAAUCGAUUUUAAGGAUUUUAGAGUUUUGAAAGCCAAACUCGAUCCAUUUUCUAAUUACAAUUAACGUUUUUGUCUAGUAAUUAACAUUUAACAUUUCUAAGUCUAAUUUUGUGCAGUCAACUAAUGACUUCGGGAUUAAAUAUGCAAGUGAUAGUUAAGUAUUAAAAUACUGAUUUCAAAUAGUUGGAGAUCUAAAAGUCCAUUUUCGAGAUUUAUAACUAUGACUAGAGUUUUAAUGGUAGUUUGGUCAUUUUAAUACAAUGCACCAAUGCACAUUAGAUUAUUCUACCACUAAAUGAUAUCUUUUAUUUUUUUCUAUAUUUAUGUUUUACUAUAAAAAAUAUUAGUUUAAAAAAAAUAUUUUUUAAAUAACAAACUAUUCAUAAUUAUUAUCAAAAUACUAUUAAUAAAUAUUGAUUCACUUUUUUUUGUUUUAAAAAAUGAAAAUAAAAUAUUUUUUAUAAUAUUUAAAUUAUCAAAUGGAUAAAAAAAAAUUUCAAUAUUUAGUAAUUUUACAAGAAAUUAUUAUAAUAAAUUAAAAUUUUUGAUAAAUUGAGCAUACUGUAAAGUAAAAUCCUAUAGUUUUACCUUAAACAAACGCUGCUAUCACCAAAAAAAAACUGGCCUACACAUAAACAGAAAUAAAGUUAAAUAUUUAAAUUUUAGUAAGUUAAAUUUGGAUUUUAGUAAGUUAAAUUUGAGUUUCUUUCUAUAGUUAUUUUCUUCUAGUUUUUUUUUGUCGAAGUUUCAUUCAUAUAAUGAUGCAAGUCAAAUGAUUUGGGAGGUAACCAACAUGAAAAACAGAGUAAACAAAGUAUCAUGAAGACAGGUCUGGCCCAGACCAAUUAUGGGGUCGAAGAAAAAGAAGAAAAUAAUUGAGCUUAUUACAGCCUUGUUCGUUUCUCUAUUAAGACGCUGCAUCUGGAUAUUAGCAUUGUUGUCCAUUUAGACACUAUGUCACUAUAAUGCAGAAUUCAAAUGUAGCAUAUAUAAUAUCUUGCACAGGUUUUAGAGCUUCAUUGACUUUGAUCGGCGACCAUCACAAACCCGCUUUGGUAAAGUAUCGAGCUUCAUUGAAAGUUGAGGAUGCAGCGGUGAUGAGGACAUGGAGUUUUGGGUCUCCCAACCCAAUUAACCAGACAAGCCAGCGACGCGGAUGUCGGCUCCGGGAUUAUGACUAGAGACUCGUCCGUGUAUCUUUCUCCUGUGUUGAGUCCGGAGAGGCGAAGUAACCCGUAUGUGUAUCAUUUGAAAAUGUAGUAGAGUAGUUUUAGUCGUAUGGAUUUUAUUCAAUUCAUCGUUGGUAGUCUAAAGUUUUUUUUUUUGUAAAUUUUUUUUUUUAAGUUAACAUAGUGUUAAAGCUCCACUUUAUCACACAUAUAAAUGAUUUGUUUCCCUUGAAUGAGCUCACGCGAGUAAUGUACAUUACAAAAUACCACAAAAAAAAAAAACACUCCCAUCAAACCUAAGUAUUACACAACUAACAUUACUUAAAAUAAUUCUAGCUAGUUAAAUCACAUAAGCACACAAGUAUUUGGUUCUUCCACCACAACUCUAGAAUUCCCGUAUGGCUGAUAGUGCGAAUUCGCAUAGGACGAAUAAUAUUGGUACGGGUAGUUCAUAUCCGUAACUGGAAAAGCAACAAUUUCAGCUGGUUUAGCCGUAUCAGGUUUAGCUGGAGCCGGUUUCGCUGGUUCAGGCUUUUUCUCAGGUGGUUUAACAACUUCAACCGAAACGAUUUCUGCAUUACACAGUUUCCUUAGCUUCAUCACGAGAACCGGUGUAUCAACUUCUCCAACUACUGUCAUUUUCCCUGUUUUGUCAUCCAUUGUUAUCGAAGUAACCCCUUGAGAUCGAGAGA
rnacentral:lncRNA from 1 species